rnacentral:lncRNA from 1 species
CUCUUGUAUUGUGAUGAAAUCCUUAUAACUAUAUUAUGAUCGAUAAAGGAUGAUUUGUCAAAUAGUUCUUAAACAUGUUCGAGAUCAAAUGAUACAUCAUUAAUAAGACGAUGACAUUUAUCAAGAGUAGGUCAUUGUGUGCCAUAUAGAUUGAUUGUCCUCACAACCAAAGAGUGUAGAGAUACUGGUAUGGCAUACAUGUG